AUGCUUACUAUGAAUUUUGUAUUGGGGGACAGAUAUUCCUUUUGUAAGGGCCCGUGUCCCAAUCUUUGUGUACCAGUGGCUGUAUUAACUAAAGGAUCUGGUAAAGGGGGAGGAAUCCUAGAAAAACCAGUUAUUGAGAAAGCCACCCCAGGCCGUGAAUCUGAAUUUGAUUUAAAGAAGUCACGGAAAACAGCGCCGCCUUAUCGGUUAACAUCAUGCAAGAAGCUCACCACAAUGGAAUGUGGUGGUUGCUGA